UUAGGAAUUUUGGGCAAUGGGCGCAAGCCUGACCCAGCAACGCCGCGUGGGUGACGAAGGCCUUCGGGUUGUAAAGCCCUUUUCUCAGGGAAGAUGAUGACGGUACCUCAGGAAGAAGCACCGGCUAACUACGUGCCAGCAGCCGCGGUAAUACGUAGGGUGCGAGCGUUGCCCGGAUUUAUUGGGCGUAAAGGGCGCGUAGGCGGUGAGAUGCGUCCGUUGUGAAAUCGCCCGGCUCAACUGGGCGGGGUCAGCGGAUACGGUCUCACUUGAGCAAGCUAGGGGGCAAUGGAAUUCCCGGUGUAGUGGUGGAAUGCGUAGAUAUCGGGAGGAACACCAGUGGCGAAGGCGGUUGCCUGGGGCUUUGCUGACGCUGAGGCGCGAAAGCGUGGGGAGCGAUCCGGAUUAGAUACCCCCGUAGUCC
rnacentral:rRNA from 1 species